rnacentral:lncRNA from 1 species
AUCCCCCACAUGGUUGCCUUUAGGACAUUUAUUGCUGAGGAAUCCCCUUAGCAGUAGUGUCCGUCCCGAUGAUGAUCCUUAGGCUAGGUCCCUUAUGAUAGGUGUUUAGGGACGUAAAGUGAGGAUAACGGGAACGGGUAAUCGGGUUAUUGUUGAUUGAUGAAAUUAAUAAACUUAUUUAUUGUGGGUUGAAAACCCUAUGUGCUCACCAGGCUCCCAAGCCUGACCCACUCAGUUUUAUGUAUUACAGGUAGUGGCGCAUGAGCAUAGGUGUGAUGUUUUGGACGAGGGAUUACGGAUAUAGGCCUGUAGAUAUGAAAUAAUGUAGUAAGGCUUAUAUUGUACUGUUUAUGCUUUUGAUCUGUACGAACAUGACAUCCCGAGUCUUUUAAUGAAAUACAUUUCUAUGGAAAUGCUUUUGAUAAAUCUUUAUCAUAUUUUUGUUUUGGGACAAAUUCCGCAACACUUUCAUUUAAAAUGUAACUCUGAUUUUUAAACAAAGCAUAAACAAACCGGUCUUUUCUGGCCGUGAUUUUGGGGAUGUCACAGUUGGUAUCAGAGCAUUAGUUUAAGCGAACUAGGAAUUUGUAGGAUUUCUAGACUUAAACUUAGAAUGCUAAGCGAUGAUUGUGAGGUGUGAGCACUAGCUUAUUUUAGGAAUUGUGCCUAAAAUGCUUUUAUGUGCUAAAUGCUUUGUGCAUAAUAUGCUGUUAAUUGUUCGGAUCUAUGGUCUGUUGCCGACCGGAUCUGGAAACCUUAUGUGUUUAGGAUUCUAAACGUACGACUACGAUAUUAGAACUAGCAUGUAAACGUUUCGGAGUGAUAAGGACGAUUUAAAACGUCUAUCCUAAAUAAAGAUCUAAAUUCACCUUAUUCGGUGUAUAGAUCAAGAUGGCAAGGACCCGUAGCGGAAACGUGAACGCAAAUGGAGGUAGGAACCAACCCCCAGUGGUUCAGCAAAUACCUGUUGUUGAAGAAGUUGCACCUGAGCCAGUCACCAUGGCUGGAGUUCAAGCCAUGAUUCAGGCUAUGCUAGCUGAACAAAGGGAAGAAAUGAGACGGAUGCUCCACGAAAAUAGGGACGAACCUACCAUACAUGUUGAACCGACGGAGCCAGUUCCCGAGCCAUCUGAGGAAGGGAACUAUAGCCGCCAAGUGAGUCAAGUAGGGACUCAAGGUGAGCAAAAGGAUGGCCCAGAAGGGAGAAACAACAAGGAUGGGCGGAUGUACAAAAAUUUCUUGGGUGCGAAACCACCAAGUCUCUCAGGAAGCCCAAAGCCUGUUGAGAUUAUGGACUGGAUCUCCGAGAUGGAGAUGGUGUUUGAGAGCUGCGACUGCAGCGAGAAGCAGAAGACUGUCUUCGCUGUGAGACAAUUGAAAACUGGAGUCUUGAGCUGGUGGAAGCUAUUGGCAGAUACAAUGCCACGGGGAGAAGCUCUGAAAAUGUCAUGGGAUGAGUUCUUGGAACAACUGAAGGCGCAGUACUGUUCAGAGAUAGACCUGAUUGAUCUGAACAAUGAGUUCCAAAAUUUGAAGAAGGGGAGAAUGAGCAUCGAUGACUAUGCUGCUGCAUUUACGGAAAAGAUGAAGUUGUUUCCAUACCUAGUGCCAACCGAACUUUCCAAAAUUGAGAAAUUCGCAAACGGACUGCCGGCUGACUUUGGCCCAACAGUCAAGAUGGCAACCACUCUGAAAUCAGCUGUUCGAGCAGCUAAGAACGUGGAGACCCAACAAAAGGAAAGAGGUCUGGAGAGGGCUGAGGUUGGUGAGAAACGGAAGUUCAAUGGAUCCUCGAAGUCCAACAAGAAGAGUAGAUUCUCGAAGUCUGGUUCGAGGGGAGGAGGAUCAGAAGCGAAGUGGUGUGACAAGUGCAAGAAGAAGCACUCUGGGAAGUGUGACGGAGGGGUCACUUGUUACAAGUGCGGAAAGCCUGGGCACUACGCCAAUGAAUGCACCCUCAACCAGAAAGCCUGUUAUGGGUGCAAUGAAGAAGGGCACAUUUUGAAGGACUGCCCGAAGAAGAAGGAGACAGGAAGACCCAACAUACCACCGAAGCCGAAGGCGAGAGCCUUCCAGAUGACGCUCGAGGCUGCAAAGGAGGCAGCAGACGUCGCUUCAGGUACCUUUCUUGUAAAUGGUUUGCCUGCAAAUAUACUAUUUGAUUCCGGAGCCAACUACUCCUUUGUGUCGCAUAAAUUUGGUGGGAAAUUAGCAUUGCCUGUAGAAAAACUAGAUAAUGCCCUGAUUGUAGAAGUUGCCAGUGGCAAAUUCGUACCUGUUAGUAAUCGUAUUAGGAACAUCGUCAUUGACCUAAACGGAAACGAAUUCCACGAAGAGCUAUUACCCAUAGAGUUAAACGGUUUCGACAUCGUUUUGGGUAUGGAUUGGCUUAGCGCCAACGAUGCUGAGAUUCAAUGCCGAAAGAAGAUAGUAAAGGUAAACCCACCCGGAAAAGAAUCAUUUAUGGUGUAUGGGGACAAACGCAGAGUGAAUUCUGGAAUCAUCUCCCUGAUGAAAGCCAGGAAAUGUUUGUCCAAAGGAUGUGCAUCAUACUUGGCAUUCGUAAUCGAUGCCAAGAAGGAGAAGAAAGAGGUGCAGAAUAUACCGGUUGUGUGUGAUUAUCCGGAAGUCUUUCCCGAAGAUCUUCCCGGAUUACCACCUGAUAGGCAAGUGGAGUUUCGUAUAGACUUGUUACCAGGAACAACACCGAUAGCAAAGGCACCUUACCGAUUAGCACCGACGGAGAUGAAGGAGCUCAUGACGCAACUUCAGGAGCUGUUGGACAACGGUUUUAUUCGACCUAGUUCAUCACCCUGGGGAGCUCCGGUGUUAUUCGUGAAGAAGAAGGACGGAAGUAUGAGAAUGUGUAUAGACUACCGAGAGCUGAAUAAGGCAACGGUGAAGAACAAGUAUCCAUUGCCGAGGAUUGAUGACCUAUUCGAUCAGCUGCAAGGUUCGAGCUACUUCUCAAAGAUCGAUCUUAGGUCAGGAUAUCAUCAGCUAAAGGUGAGAAAGCAGGAUAUUGAGAAGACUGCAUUCAGAACGAGAUAUGGACACUACGAGUUCUUGGUUAUGUCAUUCGGGCUAACCAAUGCUCCCGCAGCAUUCAUGGAUUUGAUGAAUAGGGUUUGUAAACCAUUCCUCGAUAAAUCCGUGAUAGUGUUCAUCGACGACAUUCUCAUCUACUCGAAAAGCCAAGAGGAGCAUGGCAAGCAUCUACGGGAAGUAUUAGAAGUGUUGAAGAAGGAGAAGCUUUUUGCAAAGUUCUCCAAAUGCGACUUUUGGAUACGGGAAGUCCAAUUCUUGGGUCAUGUUGUUAACCAGGAGGGAAUAAUGGUUGACCCCGCAAAGAUCGAGGCUGUAAUGAAGUGGGAACGUCCAAAGAGUCCCACGGAGAUUCGAAGCUUUCUAGGAUUAGCCGGAUAUUAUCGACGAUUUAUCCAAGGCUUUUCUUCGAUAGCUGCUCCAUUAACAGCUUUGACUCAUAAAGGAGCUACGUAUACGUGGAGUGAGAAACACGAUGAGGCAUUCGAGAAGCUAAAGAAGAAGUUAUGUGAAGCACCGAUACUUUCUCUACCCGAUGGAGUCGAAGAUUUCGCGGUUUAUAGUGACGCUUCUGGAGUCGGGUUGGGUUGUGUUCUGACCCAAAGAGAAAAGGUGAUAGCAUACGCAUCUCGACAAUUGAAAGAGCACGAAAAGAACUACCCCACUCAUGAUCUGGAGUUGGCAGCGGUAGUUUUUGCCUUAAAGAUAUGGAGGCAUUACCUCUACGGCACGAAGUGCAAGCUCUUCACUGAUCAUAAGAGUCUCCAGUAUCUCUUUAAUCAGAAGGAGUUGAACAUGAGGCAACGACGCUGGCUAGAACUUCUCAAGGACUACGACUGUGAGAUACUUUACCACCCAGGUAAAGCAAAUAUUGUUGCUGAUGCUCUCAGUCGGAAAGUCAAUCUGGAAAGGAAAAGGCCAAGAGCGUUAAGAAUUGAAGUCGUCUCGACGAUUGUGGAAAGUAUCAGGAAAGCUCAAGAAGAAGCUUUAGAGAAAAAUGACCGAAAGGAAGAACGUUUGGGAAGAACGUUAGUGUUUGGUACAAACAGUCGAGGACUGAAGGUAUUCCAAGAUCGAAUUUGGGUACCUAAGACGGGAGGAAUAAGAGAUCUUCUGAUGGAAGAAGCACACAAGACCAUGUACUCGAUUCAUCCCGGUAGCACUAAAAUGUAUAGGGACCUAAAACCCUACUACUGGUGGCCGACGAUGAAGCUCGAUGUUGCGAAGUAUGUGGCCGAGUGCGUAACAUGUGCGAGGGUUAAGGCACAACAUCAGAAACCGUAUGGGAGUUUAGAACCUUUACCUGUACCCAUGGGUAAAUGGGAAGACAUCACCAUGGAUUUUGUGACUAAACUGCCCAGGACGAAGAACGGUCACGACAUGAUUUGGGUAGUCGUGGAUCGUUUCACCAAGAGUGCACACUUCAUAGCAGCCAACGAGAAGUGGUCUAUGGAUAAGCUCGCAAAUGCUUACGUGAAGGAAAUUGUAAGACUUCACGGUGUCCCUCUUACGAUUGUAUCAGAUCGUGAUAGUCGUUUCACGUCAAGGUUUUGGAGGAGUCUACAAGAGGAGUUAGGUACAAAGUUGUGUUUGAGUACUGCUUAUCAUCCGCAAACUGAUGGUCAGAGCGAAAGAACGAUUCAGACGCUGGAAGAUAUGCUGAGAGCAUGUACCCUCGAAUUCCAAGGGAAUUGGGACGAGCACUUACCUCUGGUAGAAUUUUCCUACAACAAUAGUUUUCACUCGAGCAUCAAGAUGGCUCCUUAUCAAGCCUUGUAUGGGCAGAAGUGUCGUACGCCGUCUUGUUGGCUUGAAGCCGGAGAGAAGCAGUUUAUGGGCCCCGAGAUAGUCCAUGAGACUGCUGAGAAGUUGAAGGUGAUUAGGGAAAGGAUGUUAGCAGCCCAGGAUCGUCAGAAGAGCUAUGCUGACAAGAAAAGACGACCGAUAACUUUCGAAGUUGGGGAUUCCGUUUUGCUUAAAGUCUCACCGUGGAAGGGACUUAUACGAUUUGGGAAACGAGGAAAGUUGAGUCCAAGGUUUAUUGGACCGUUCAAAGUUCUUCAGAAGAUAGGGAACCAAGCUUACAAGCUGGAAUUGCCCGAAGAACUCAAUGGUAUUCAUAACACCUUCCAUGUGUGUUAUUUGAGGAAAUUCACGGGAGAUGUUCCCGACAUAAUUCCAAUCUCAGAGUUAAGGAUGGAUGAAAAUAAAAGGUUGAUCGAAGAGCCUGAGGCAAUUGUUGACCGUAAGACUAAGAAGUUACGACGCAAGAUGGUCGACUUGGUGCUAGUCCGAUGGAAACAUUCGAAUGGGCCGAAUCUCACUUGGGAAACAGAGGAUGACAUGAUGAGUCGCUAUCCACAUCUGUUUGCUGAUGCAUGAUUCCGGGACGGAAUCAUCCUAAGGGGGAGAGAAUUGUAACGCCCGGGUUUCAGGGCUAAGCAUUUUUGUCAAUGUAAUAGUCUAGGUCAACUCUUGUAACUCUUUUUGAAGUAAUAAAGAUGAAAUAUUUGAGUAUUAUGUGAAUUAUAUGUGUUUAUUAUUUAAUUAUAAAUGUAUAAUUAAUAAAGAAUAAAAAUGAGCGUCAAAAUUAAAGUGUGAGAUAAUCCCGAUAUCUCUACAUAAAGUUGUAGAAUAUGUCUCAAGGUUUCCGUGCAUAUAAGGAACGCCGAAAUCCGAGUUAUAACGAAGAAGUUAUGACCCGUCGAAGUUUCACGACAGAACCGGCACGAUACCGGGAAGCGUGAAUAGUGAAUUUACGAUAGAGCGAGAUUUAGCCUUAGUGAUCUAAACGAAAGUCGUAGAAUAUGUUAAACUAAGAACAUCGAUAAAAAGAACGCCCAAAUCUGACUUCGUAUGAAGAAGUUAUGAGAUUUUAAACAGACCAAUCCUGUCCCGGCUUGUUAAAAAUAUAACUUUAAAAAUAAAGUCAAAAUUAGCCGACGGAGUCUAAACGAAAGUUGUAGAGUACGUCUUCACCUACGCGUGGAUAUAAAGAACGUCAAAAACGGAGUUCGUAUGAACGAGUUACAAAUUAUAAUAGCAUAUUUACGUAUUAAAAUAAAGUAUAAAUCAUGUAUACGUACACAUAUAUAUACAUAUGUAUAUAUCAUUAGAAAGGUAUCGACGAUGCGGUCAUUAUAAGACUAAUGUUGAGUUCUUUCGACAUUAGUUUAGUACAAAUAUCAUUAAAUCCAUUUAUAAUAGUAUUAUAGAGGGGUGUUUAGUUGUUUAUAUAACUAAAAGGUCAUUAAGUAAUUAUGGAGGGUAGUUUUUGAAAAUUCAAUUAGUAUAAAUAAGAGCCUUGGGCUCUCAUAUUUCUUGCACCAUUCUCUUGAUUCAAGAGUCUUUCUCUCCUUAUCCCCCGAGCAUUUCGGUCCCUCGUGAUUCGACUUCUCUUUCUGUAGCUUAGUAUAGUAAGGUGAGCGCUGAAGCGCUGCACGAAUCUUUCUUAGAAAGAUUCAGCGACGAAGUUCUGCCCCUGCAGAGCCCGACUCCUAGCUAAAACCCCCUUGUAAGUAAGUUAUGCUUACCUUAUUUUAAUAUAGCUUAUAUUUAAAAUUAGUAUUGUUAUUAUGAACUUAUAAUAAAUAUUUGAGCUAUUAUUAUAACUUAUAUAAGUGUCGUUAUAAUAUUUUUUUUAACUACUCGCGGUACGGGGAAUCUGGUUUAAAGGGCCGCAUAGGGUUGUUGGAUUUCAGAAGUGCUAUAUGCCAAAAUGGUCCUGCCCUCCGGUGUUUUAUGUCUGGCCCCUGUCUGUACAUAGUGGUUGGAAAAUAUUGUUUAACGCUUAUAUAAUAAUAAUAAUACUAAGACUAAUAGUUGGUCACGGUAAAUAUUAGACUAAAAUUUAGCGAUAAUAAUGCUAGGUUUCGUCGAAGGAAAAUAGAAUCGUUAGAAGCAAGCGCUGCCCGAUUUUGGAAUCAUCACCUUAACAAGUGAGUGCAUAGUUACUUUCAACUUACACAUAGAUAUGAAGUAUUUUAUAUAAAUUACGUGCUAUGUGUGCAUAUUAUCUGAAUACUUGCUAUCUAUGCUAGAUGAACGUUGUUAUACAUGUUUUCAAUGAUUUAAACUGUAUAUGUAUUUUAUAUCUACGAAAAUGUUGGGGUAAAACAUGGGUAGAUGCAAUAGGUGAUGUGUGAUAAAAUGAUGAGAGGCCUCGAUGUUGAUGUUGUUGAUUCUGUCAUCUAGCGGAGUAUGGAUGACGACCACGGACUCUUCUAGACAGUCCAGUGGAACACUAGCAGGCUCGCAACCUGUAGGUGUUUGUGAACGAUAUGUUCACCGGUGUACUCCAUCCCCCACAUGGUUGCCUUUAGGACAUUUAUUGCUGAGGAAUCCCCUUAGUAGUAGUGUCCGUCCCGAUGAUGAUCCUUAGGCUAGGUCCCUUAUGAUAGGUGUUUAGGGACGUAAAGUGAGGAUAACGGGAACGGGUAAUUGGGUUAUUGUUGAUUGAUGAAAUUAAUAAACUUAUUUAUUGUGGGUUGAAAACCCUAUGUGCUCACCAGGCUCCCAAGCCUGACCCACUCAGUUUUAUGUAUUACAGGUAGUGGCGCAUGAGCAUAGGUGUGAUGUUUUGGACGAGGGAUUACGGAUAUAGGCCUGUAGAUAUGAAAUAAUGUAGUAAGGCUUAUAUUGUACUGUUUAUGCUUUUGAUCUGUACGAACAUGACAUCCCAAGUCUUUUAAUGAAAUACAUUUCUAUGGAAAUGCUUUUGAUAAAUCUUUAUCAUAUAUUUGUUUUGGGACAAAUUCCGCAACACUUUCAUUUAAAAUGUAACUCUGAUUUUUAAACAAAGCAUAAACAAACCGGUCUUUUCUGGCCGUGAUUUUGGGG